GUUUCAGGUAUAAACGUGUCCCCCGUGUUAAGUAGUGGUAUAACGUACACGUAUCGAUCCCCGGACAUGGGAGCCUCUUGAUAAUAGUGAAGAAAGGUGCCAGUGAACUAUCGCGUCUCAACUACUGCUGCUAAGUGACUAUGCUCUGGGCGGCGAACACUUCCAAUCAAAGUAUUCUUUAUACAACUACGAGUCUAAUUUAAAUAUUUAAUCUUCCUCAAUGUUUCGAUACUUCAUUUGAGGUUAGACAUAAUUGACAGACUAGUGAUCAGUAAAAAGUCAUUGGAUGGUAGAAUGUAGGACUGGAGAUGGCAGGGUGAAUAUUGUUUUGAAUGCUGAUUAAAUUCUUCCUCUGGAUUAUCUAUGUCCAGAAACUGAAACGAUGAUCCGAAAUUUAAAAAAAUACAAUAACCCCUAUAAAUCGGGAAGUUAAUAACUCUAGUCUCCAUAAUUUUGCAACGUUGCUCCCUAAUUAUGGCUUUGGGUAAUACCUGAUAAUCCAAAAUGGAGAACCCAAGGCCCCGCUCUCCUUUUACCAAUUCGAUGAUUUGCGGCUCGGAGCUCCACAUCGCAAGGCCAGUCAACGGUUCCAGAGAACGUGAUUUCAUCUUGUUCAAGCUGGC